GCUUGUGACUCAGUGGUAGAGCGCUUGCCUACCAUGUGCAAGGCCCUGGGUUCGACCCUCAGCACUGCA
rnacentral:tRNA from 1 species